GGGGGUAGUUUUUAGUACGUAUGCGCCAGGGAUGGCGAAUCGUGCAUGCUGCUACUAAGACCCACCAGUAUCUUUCGAAUAUUUUCUACCUCC
rfam:Glossina palpalis gambiensis isolate 146720 unplaced genomic scaffold Scaffold1087, whole genome shotgun sequence.